rnacentral:tRNA from 1 species
GUUUUAAUAGUUUAUUUAAAAACUUUGGUCUUGUAAUCCAAAAAAGGAAAUUUUUUCCUUAAAACU